GUUUUAAUAAUUUAAAUAAAAUAUUGGUCUUGUAAAUCAAAUAUAAGUCCUCCUUUUAAAACU
rnacentral:tRNA from 1 species